UACAGAGGUCCCAAGCGUUGUUCGGAUUCAUUGGGCGUAAAGGGUGUGUAGGUGGCGCGCUAAGUCGGGUGUGAAAUUUCGGAGCUUAACUCCGAAACUGCAUUCGAUACUGGCGUGCUUGAGGACUGGAGAGGAGACUGGAAUUCAUGGUGUAGCAGUGAAAUGCGUAGAGAUCAUGAGGAAGACCAGUGGCGAAGGCGGGUCUCUGGGCGGUUCCUGACACUGAGACACGAAGGCCAGGGGAGCAAACGGG
rnacentral:rRNA from 1 species